rnacentral:rRNA from 1 species
CUACGUUAGAUUAGCUAGUUGGUGAGGUAAUGGCUUACCAAGGCUAUGAUCUAUAGCUGGUCUGAGAGGACGAUCAGCCACACUGGAACUGAGAUACGGUCCAGACUCCUACGGGAGGCAGCAGUGGGGAAUAUUGGACAAUGGGCGAAAGCCUGAUCCAGCUAUGCCGCGUGAGUGAAGAAGGCCUUCGGGUUGUAAAACUCUUUCAAUAGGGAAGAUAAUGACGGUACCUAUA